rnacentral:sRNA from 1 species
ACAAUUACUCUUACACCUCCUUCAGGGCUACUUAGAACCACCAUAACACAAAGACAACAUCAUGGCUGGAUCCACGACUUGCGAAAAAGGCUAAACCUCCAGAAGAGUGCAAAGAAAAUGAGCUUCCAUAUGGCUGGGAAAAAAUCGAUGAUCCCAUUUAUGGCACUUAUUAUGUUGACCACAUAAAUAGAAGAACACAGUUUGAAAAUCCUGUACUGGAAGCAAAAAGGAAGCUACAGCAACAUAACAUGCCCCACACAGAACUUGGAACAAAGCCCCUGCAGGCCCCAGGUUUCCGAGAAAAACCACUCUUCACCCGGGAUGCAUCCCAGUUGAAGGGAACAUUCCUCAGCACCACCCUAAAAAAGAGCAACAUGGGUUUUGGAUUUACCAUCAUUGGUGGAGACGAGCCUGAUGAGUUUCUGCAGGUGAAAAGUGUGAUUCCGGAUGGGCCUGCAGCACAGGAUGGAAAAAUGGAAACAGGUGAUGUCAUUGUCUAUAUUAAUGAAGUUUGUGUCCUUGGACACACUCAUGCAGAUGUUGUCAAACUUUUCCAGUCUGUUCCUAUUGGUCAGAGUGUCAACCUGGUGUUGUGUCGUGGCUACCCUUUGCCCUUUGAUCCUGAAGACCCUGCUAACAGCAUGGUGCCACCCCUUGCAAUAAUGGAGAGGCCACCUCCAGUGAUGGUCAAUGGAAGACACAACUAUGAAACAUAUUUGGAGUACAUUUCUCGGACCUCACAGUCAGUUCCAGAUAUAACAGAUCGGCCGCCUCAUACUUUGCACUCUAUGCCAGCUGAUGGUCAGCUAGACGGCACGUAUCCACCGCCCGUCCAUGAUGACAAUGUGUCUAUGGCUUCAUCUGGGGCCACCCAAGCUGAACUUAUGACCUUAACCAUUGUGAAAGGUGCCCAGGGCUUCGGCUUCACUAUUGCUGACAGUCCUACAGGACAGCGGGUGAAACAAAUACUUGACAUUCAGGGAUGCCCUGGCCUGUGUGAAGGCGACCUCAUUGUUGAGAUCAACCAGCAGAAUGUACAGAACCUGAGCCAUACAGAAGUAGUGGAUAUACUUAAGGACUGUCCCAUUGGAAGUGAAACUUCUUUGAUUAUCCAUCGAGGAGGUUUCUUUUCUCCAUGGAAAACUCCAAAGCCUAUAAUGGACCGAUGGGAGAAUCAAGGCAGUCCUCAAACGAGUUUAUCUGCUCCGGCCAUACCGCAGAACCUGCCCUUCCCACCUGCCCUUCACAGGAGCUCCUUUCCUGACUCAACAGAGGCCUUUGACCCACGGAAGCCUGAUCCAUAUGAGCUCUACGAGAAAUCUAGGGCCAUUUAUGAAAGUAGGCAACAAGUGCCACCCAGGACCAGUUUUCGAAUGGAUUCCUCUGGCAAGUAUUGUUCAGUACUCACAGUUCUGUGAACAAAACGUCUUCCAUUUUGUGUAACAAAUCAUUCUUCUGAUAGUAUCAGUUUCUUAGUAUAUAAUCACUGUGCUACUUUAGUCACCUACAU